GAGUAACGUAGUAAAGAACUUACAUAUAGACUGGAUAACAGAGGGAAACUUCUGAUAAUACUAGAUAAGUUAGUAGUAGCAUUACUAAGUAAUGAAAGGUAGCAAUACGCUAUAUGAGAGCUUUGCAUCCUAUUAGCUAGUUGGUGGGUAAAGCCUACCAAGGCGAUGAUAGGUAGCCGGCCUGAGAGGGUGGACGGCCACAAGGGGACUGAGAUACGGCCCUUACUCCUACGGGAGGCAGCAGGA
rnacentral:rRNA from 1 species